UUAGAGUUUGAUCCUGGCUCAGGACGAACGCUGGCGGCUGCUUAACACAUGCAAGUCGAACGGUGAACCCCAGCUUGCUGGGGGGAUCAGUGGCGAACGGGUGAGUAACACGUGAGUAACCUGCCCCUGACUCUGGGAUAAGCCUUGGAAACGAGGUCUAAUACCGGAUACGUGCCGCUCGGGCAUCCGAUGCGGUUGGAAAGAUUUAUCGGUCAGGGAUGGACUCGCGGCCUAUCAGCUUGUUGGUGGGGUAACGGCCCACCAAGGCGACGACSGGUAGCCGSCCUGAGAGGGCGACCGSCCACACUGGGAYUGAGACACGGCCCAGACUCCUACGGGAGGCAGCAGUGGGGAAUAUUGCACAAUGGGCGCAAGCCUGAUGCAGSGACGCCGCGUGAGGGAUGAAGGCCUUCGGGUUGUAAACCUCUUUCAGCAGGGAAGAAGCGCAAGUGACGGUACCUGCAGAAGAAGCGCCGGCUAACUACGUGCCAGCAGCCGCGGUAAUACGUAGGGCGCAAGCGUUGUCCGGAAUUAUUGGGCGUAAAGAGCUCGUAGGCGGUUUGUCGCGUCUGCUGUGAAAACUCGAGGCUCAACCUCGGGCUUGCAGUGGGUACGGGCAGACUAGAGUGCGGUAGGGGAGACUGGAAUUCCUGGUGUAGCGGUGGAAUGCGCAGAUAUCAGGAGGAACACCGAUGGCGAAGGCAGGUCUCUGGGCCGCAACUGACGCUGAGGAGCGAAAGCAUGGGGAGCGAACAGGAUUAGAUACCCUGGUAGUCCAUGCCGUAAACGUUGGGCACUAGGUGUGGGGCUCAUUCCACGAGUUCCGUGCCGCAGCAAACGCAUUAAGUGCCCCGCCUGGGGAGUACGGCCGCAAGGCUAAAACUCAAAGAAAUUGACGGGGGCCCGCACAAGCGGCGGAGCAUGCGGAUUAAUUCGAUGCAACGCGAAGAACCUUACCAAGGCUUGACAUACACCGGAAACUUCCAGAGAUGGUUGCCCCGCAAGGUCGGUGUACAGGUGGUGCAUGUGUUGCCAGCACGUGAUGGUGGGGACUCAUAGGAGACUGCCGGGGUCAACUCGGAGGAAGGUGGGGAUGACGUCAAAUCAUCAUGCCCCUUAUGUCUUGGGCUUCACGCAUGCUACAAUGGCCGGUACAAAGGGCUGCGAUACCGCGAGGUGGAGCGAAUCCCAAAAAGCCGGUCUCAGUUCGGAUUGGGGUCUGCAACUCGACCCCAUGAAGUCGGAGUCGCUAGUAAUCGCAGAUCAGCAACGCUGCGGUGAAUACGUUCCCGGGCCUUGUACACACCGCCCGUCAAGUCACGAAAGUCGGUAACACCCGAAGCCGGUGGCCCAACUC
rnacentral:rRNA from 1 species